rnacentral:rRNA from 1 species
GGAAUAGCCCAAACCAAUAAAGUUUUCUUUAUUGGGGUUGCGGACAUAUCUUAAACGAAGAGGUAUCGUAAUUGAAGAGGUUUGGAAAGACCCACCAUAGAAGGUAAUAGUCCUGUAUGUCAAACGAGAAAGCUUCAGAUAUGAUCCAGAGUACCACGGGACACGUGAAACCCUGUGGGAAGCAGGAGGGACCACCCUCCAAGGCUAAAUACUACCUAGUGACCGAUAGCGUAUAGUACCGUGAGGGAAAGGUGAAAAG